rnacentral:lncRNA from 1 species
UUAGACAAAGAGCCCCAACAUGUCGUUUUCUUUUUCUUCUAGUAGAAGCACAAUAGAAAGAGUGGCAACUUAUCCAUUUGAAAUAACAACCAGCCAUGACAUCACCCACCCUCUUGAUGCCAUUUUUGAGAAGAAUACAAAUAAAUAUUUUCCUUAGCAGUAGGCCCUUUGAAGAAAAUCUACAAAUCAUCAAGAAAACUUCUUUUGAAGAAUUGUUUUCCUGCUUUCAACCGUCAUCUGAACUGACCAAAUCACAGGUUGGAUAAGAAGAUUGAAACAUAAAAACACAGUUUCUUCACAAAGAGACAAACAAUAUUGUUGAAUUCCUUAACGCCACUUGCCAACUCAUUGUCAUACACAUCAUUGUUUUGUAAGAACUAUGAAACAAGAACUGGCAUAGAGAAUUUUAAAACUUUCAAACUCCAAUCCAUCCUUAUUCCUAUCAUGAAAGAAAAAGGAAAAAAAAGAUCGAAUCGAUUAUCAUCAUCGUCAUCAAUAAUCCCACGUGGCUGGUUCAUGCACAUGGGGCUUGUCAAUUAUAGUCAUGACCCUCAAAAAUAGAAUGAAAAGUACUUGAAAAAUUUUCAUUGACAUUGGAGAGCCCACUUGAAAGUGCGAAAUUAGUAAACUACAAUUGCAAAAUUUAGUACAUCAGCAUCAGCUCAUCUGAUCUGAAAGUUGUAAAACAAACACCAAUUCCUGAGUCAAAUGAUCUCUAAGAUAUUUGAUGAUGAUGAUGAUGAUGAUUAGAUCGAAGGGAAACAAUAUUUGGUUGUAUGGUGCUUACAUCACAGGGAAGUUUGAUCCAUCUUUUUGGCUUUGGGUGAGAAUCUGACAGGCAACAUGGACCUCCUGUCAACUGGCCAAAAACUGCUAUGAUCACUGGGAAAAAUUUUCUUUGCAAAGUAGAUAUGAAUGGUCCCAUAUGCAGGCUGUUGCAAAGCCAUCACAGCUUUCAUAUGGUAUGUGGGUUGGCCAGCGUUUUCCCUUUCACAAUUUGAAGGCUUUCAGUUUUCUGGACCCAUUUGGGAAUUGGGAGCCAUCAAAAUAAAGAAAAAAAAGUUUUAAUUUUACAAAUUUCAUUAUUUGCGAGAAAUUAAGUUUGCGUGAUAGGAGUACUAAUCCAAGUUAACAGCAUUUACAGCUAUACGUACGGGAAAAUUUUAAAAUAUAUAUAUUUUUUGAAUUGAUAGUUUAAAUUCUUUUUCAUAGAAAAGAAAUGAGUGAACGAUCAUUUCUAUUAAAAGAAAAAGAGUAGUAUAAAAUAUUGAAGAUUUAAUUAUAAAGUGAGUAGUUACUAAAAUUAAUUAUAAAGAAAUUUUAUUAUUUUUUAGAUCAAUUAAU